UACGUAGGCAGCGAGCGUUGUUCGGAAUUACUGGGCGUAAAGAGUGUGUAGGCGGUGCUCUAAGUUCGGUGUGAAAUCUCCUGGCUUAACUGGGAGGGUGCAGCGGAAACUAGAGUGCUAGAGGGUGGGAGAGGUAAGCGGAAUUCCUGGUGUAGCGGUGAAAUGCGUAGAUAUCAGGAGGAACACCUGUGGCGAAAGCGGCUCACUGGACCACAACUGACGCUGAGGCGCGAAAGCCAGGGGAGCGAACGGG
rnacentral:rRNA from 1 species